UUCUUGGCUCGCACCGCGCACGGUUGACAGUUGGGCUGGGAAAUGUACCCGCGGCUUAAUUAGGGCAUCGCCAGACCUGCCAAGCUCCAGCUCCUCCCCUUCGCGAUUGCCGCGACCCCAGGGACCCCCGGGACCCCCAGGGCAUGCCCCACGCUGUGGGAGGGCGCCUCGCUGCUCCUGAGGCUGUACCAUCAGUGCUCCACCCGUGUGCCCCGCCUCAUAGAAACCUGUCCUGGCCAAGGCAUACCUAUGACCUGUCCUACAGAAAUGUAACAGGACCCACUGUGCACCUGCACUCUUCUAGACUCAGACG
rnacentral:lncRNA from 1 species